UGUUAAAAACGGGGUGUUAAUCAACACACUAAAUUUUAUUGGUGAAUGUCAGUGUGUGUUAAUGAGCACCCCAGUGUUCACUAACACACGAAGUGGGUUAACAGAACACACCAACUGAGUAGUGUGUAACGUAACACACACACUUCACGUAAAGGAACACACUGAUACCCUAGGCCCAACUGUAAUUCAUACACACUAUGCUUUUUACACCACUGUACAGGCAAAACAGCCCAGAGAUUAUGUCACAAUUAUAAAACUUAUAAUCGAUAACAACAAAUAUCUACGCAACAAACUUUUAUGGAUAACCAUUAAACAAAAACAUAUUAAAGGUUUCAAGUUACUAUAGCAGUUAAUCUUGUGAGUAAACCACAGCCAGCUGCACCUGCACAGAGAAUUAUAUGAGUAUGAGUACAGUGGUGUAAUAAUACUACAUUUCAAUGCUGCUAUAACAAAUGGGAGCCAGCUAAGAGAAAAUCAGUUCAUAUAAUAUUAUAUAUAGCUUGGUCCAGUGUAUAAAAUUGACAAUGGGGGCUUGAGAGAAUUUGCAUACUGAAUAUAUCAACUUUUUAACUUAUCUUUAGUAUAUCCUGCUGUUCUCUUGGCUCUCAGAGCAGCCUGGAAAGACUACUGCUGCAUUCUCUGUCUCAUCUUGUACCAUGUGGCCACUGGCUCUGGAUCACAUGAUCAAUUUUCCUGCUAUCUAAUUAUAGAACAGAUAAACUAAUUAUAGAAUGCGCAUGCGCAGCAGUGCAGUUGCCGUAGCAAUCUUCAGAGCAGCUGCUUUUCUUUUUGAUCAAGUCCACUACCAAGUCUAGUCCUGAUCCUUUGAGAAGUCUUUAGACCCGUACUGUUCUAUGCAUUCAGAGUUCAAGGGGAAGAGAAGUUUUCAAGUCAUAAAAAACAAACGGGCAUUAAGUUGAAGGUCAAUUUCCAGCCACUCUAAAGCUGUUGUGAUGCUACUGUUUAGGUGAGUUUUUAAAUUGUAAAGAUGUUAAUCUUCUAUAGAUAAUAUAAUUAUGAGGUUUUUGUCAAGUUAAGUCCCUUCACACCGUGCUGUUCUUUGCUCUAAAGGAGAGCAGAAGUAUCAAGUCAUCAGCACAAAAGAAAAAAGGUCCGUCAUAAAGUUGGACGUCAAUCACUCUGAAGCUGAUUGUAACGCUGCUGUUUAGGUGGAGCGCUGUUAAUGUUGUCAAAUCUUUGCGAGGGAGCAGAAAUCAAACAUGCAGAGGGUACCAAACGAUGUAACUAUUUUGUACACUUUCUUAGAUAGAUUAGUCAUAGGAUGUUUUACUUCGUUCACUGUUAAUCAUUUAAUUUGAAGUAUGCUGUAUCAAUGCAAUGUCUCUUGUUGCUAUGACAAUGUGAUGUACUUGUAA